CCUGAUGUUAUCUUUCUAUCCUCUCUCCAUAGCUCUGGGCUUGAUGGCUCUUGAGUGGGCUUUGAGUCUUCCUCCGACAGACAAGCCCCAGCGAUCUUCCUUAGACCCUGCCUCUUCUCCCAAGGAACUAGAUGCUCUCUGGGAAACACGGAAGGGGGAAAGAAGCGAAUUAGAGGGAGUUGUGCAUGCCACAGCUUUACCUCCAAGUUGA
rnacentral:lncRNA from 1 species